UCUCUCCCCCGGGCUGUGGUGGAGGCUUCUUCUUUGGAGGCUUUUAAGCAGAGGCUGGAUGGCCAUCUGUCGGGGGUGCUUUGAAUGCAAUUUCCUGCUUCUUGCAGGGGGUUGGACUGGAUGGCCCAUGAGGUCUCUUCCAACUCUACUAUUCUAUGAUUCUAUGAUUCUAUGAAAGGACAUUAUAGUAACCAGUCCCUCUUGUUUGGUCAUGCAGAUGCCCCAUUCUGACCUCAGCAGAUGUAACUUCAAUGGCCAUGCAAGGAAUUCCAUGGCUGGCAAGAAGCAGAGAAGUCAACAAGUGAAUGAUCAACUCUCUUCCCUGCAUAGAUCAAUACAGGAAAGGGGGACAGCUCAGCUCCCAGCUGAAGACAGAAGCAAUAAAAAAGGAGUUCCCUGGAGCCUGCAAGGGAUGGAUUUGUCACCAGCAGGUUAUUAUCUCAAGGAAGGGAGUGGGACAUGGUCCUCAUGGAGAAGCUAUCCCAGUUUGUUUUAUUUAAUUUUAAUCUAUGCUGUAUAUUGUUUGUGGUAAAAACAGCACAUUGAGUGGAUACUGCUUGUUCUGGGACUGUUCACCAGCUGGUGGUGAAAGAGUCAGCUGAAGGAUUGAGUAGCAGUGAGAGGGCUAUCCAGAACCAUCUAGUUGGCUUCACUGCGGAGUGUAGGAAAUCUGGCACCCCAUGCCUCACAUCGCCCACAUUGUCAGGAGGGUGAUCAUAUGAGGGAAAGUGUAAGUGCACGUGGUUUAUUUUAUUUAUUUAUUUACAGUAUUUAUAUUCAAACUUGGGUUUUUCACCGUCUCAGUCAGAUUUGGAACUUUCCCAGCCAGAUUUGGGAACCUUGCACCUGCAAGAGAUUUGUCUUCCAGAAGUCUGUCAAACAAGCCCUGAGCCUAAAUCUCCUGUGUUUUCUCGCCACGAGUUUUGUAAACAACAGAGGGGAGUUCAAGCGGCGUCUCGCAGGAGUGCUAGGAUAGCUGCUAAGUAUUCAACUGAUUAAGCCUGCUUUCCAUGGGAAACUUUAAGGAGUCAUGCAUCUGGACUCAGAGAUUAGCUUUCGUUUCUGGUUCUCCAGAGAACUGCUCUUUGGUGGGAAAACUAGACCCUAUUUAGAGGUUUUGCCCACAAAGGGAUCUUGCGGAGUCAAUUCGUCAGCUACGGGAGUAAGUUGUGUGUGGACAGCGCGCUCCUGUUUCCAAGCUUUCGUUCCCGUUUCCAGCCUUGUUUACCUCCACGAAUCUUGCCUUGUUUCCUAGGACUUAGCCUUGCUUUCCAGGACCCAGCCUUGCCUUGUUUCCCGGAUUUUGCCAAGUAAUUACCACGGAUCUUGUUCUUGCUCCUCGUUCCUUGUUGCCUUGUAUCAAGCCUUGUUUUUCCAAGAAUCAAGUUAUUUCCUAGCCACGUUCAAGUUUCAUGGACUAAAGGACCUUGUCAUCUCCCCUCACUUUGCCUGGCAAAGUGAGUGUUUCGGUUAUUGGAUUACAACUUUGGACCUUAAUAUUUCAUAUUGGACAUUGUUUCUUUGGACUAAUUUUGACCUUUCCUGAAAGGUCUAUUCCUGGACUAUUUCAUACACUUGCUUUUAUUAACUUUAUAUAUUCCUUCAAUAAAGAUAUUAGUUAGAUUCUGGCCUCUGUGUAUGGUUAUUGGUGCUCUGCAGCCUGGGUCGUGACAAUGAGGGAAAGUGUAAGUGCACGUGGUUCACGCAGCUUCCCCCCAUAGAUUAGAUGACAACACAGGAAGUGUCCCGUGUUGCCACAGCAGCAUGCCGGUUCCACCCUCCUUGACCUACUGAGCUUGCACCACGAUGUCGUCUGAAGGGAGCUGGCCGGUUCCAUGGGUGACCGGGGCUAGAUCAGCAUAUUUCAAUGAUUUUAGCCCCAUAUGAUGAAGUCAUUAUUAUCCCACUUUCAUGAAUUGCCUCCAAGGAAUCUAUCCCCCUGCCCUUUCCCCAUACUUUUGGUUCCUUGAGCUGGUCAUUUAGUUCACAGUGUUAAGUUUACAUAAAGCAUACACUUCGAGAAAGGAUUUCUGGAAUUGGUCCAACUAUCUCCUGAGACAUUUAGGAUCAAUGCUACUUUUAUUUUUUAUAUAUUUGCUCCCGACAGCAGCAUGUUUUAGAAUAUUUGCUAGAUCAAUUUUAAUCCUAUUCUGUGAAUAAUAUUAUGCAUCAAUUUGAUUCAUAUGAUAGGAGAGCUUGUAAAAAACAAAAUCUUGCUCAUGGCAACAAAAAAUAACUAACUUAGCUAAGAUCUAUAGACGCCCAUUUCCCUUUCGUAAGAAAAACACCAAAUCCUUCUGGAAUCUGUUAUUCUUUCUUAUGGUUCUGCAUCAUCUGUAAAGCACAUCAACACCAAAGUUUUCUGGUACUUAUUAAUAAUAGCUUUAAUUCUCCUUUGCAACUACAGAUAUGCUGCCCUGAUUUAUUUAGAAGCCUAAAAAGCAAAUUUAUUCCAAACUAGUUUCAAGGGAGGGAAACAAGCCACCCUCCUAUUGUGUGAGUAACUGAUGUGGAAAGUCAUUUGCCUGCUUCAUGUUUUGGAGUAUAACCAACAUAUGGAAUUUGGACAAAAUUCAAACGUGGGGAAUGCACAACUAUAAACCCAAACUUUAGGCAUGUGGUGCCAGUUCUGCUAUGCAUCAGGGAAGGCUAGCAUUAUGCAUACACAAUAUAACUAGUCUAUGCUACUUUUCACAGAGUUAUAGUUGCCUUAGAAUUCCAGUCUUUUUUAAAAAAAAUAUGCACAAGUUUGGAAGAAAGAAUUUUGCAGGGGUAUAAAAACAGCAAGGAUUAAGGUAUUUUUAAAAUGUCACAAAGAGCAAGGAUUUCAUUGUGCAAUCCAAGUGGGAACCUUCUCCAUUUAAUAUACAAACUAAUUUCUUUCCAUAGACAUGACAAAUCAACAAAUCCAUCCCUUGGUAAAGUGGGAGAGAAUAGCAGGUAAUAAGGCUUACAUGUAGUUUUUUUAACAAAGCAGAUAAGGAAGUAAUUGUCUUUAUGUUUAUGGCAUAGCAGCAACUUUCCUCAUAAGAAGAAAUAACAUAAUCCCAUGAUGAGAGGGUUUUAUUUUAUGCUCACAUUGACAAUAAAUGUGUGAGGAAAAAAUAAGCCCCCUAAUCAUAAGCUAACACAACUGUCACAUUUAGCAGAGAUGUGGAAUUUAACUUAUUAUUACCAGUGCCACAGUCACACUACAUGGAAAUCAGAUUCUCACUUUUUUGCAGUUUAUUGAAUUAUGUCUAAAAAGUGGCUGUUAUUGGAGUUGUUCAUUUGUUAGGACUUUUUUAAAAGUCACAGUCAGUUGUCCAAUCCUUUGCAUAGACCACACCAGUGUGCUGAUGCACAUUUCUCAGGAAAUGAUAAAAAAAAUCUUGCAUAGUGGUUUGAAUUCAGGUACCAUGGUAAAUGUGAUCACCUUCCUGGCCUCAAAGUGGUUCCAGACUUGUCAGUCCAAUCAUACAGGCAGGGAAACCAACUCCAAAUGGAUUAUAGUGUCAAUACAGAAGUUCUUUAGACUGCUGUGAACUCAGGAGACCUGCUUCAGUUCAGCUGGAACUUCAUAAUAUGUUUUUGCUG
ensembl:lncRNA